rnacentral:rRNA from 1 species
AUUGAACGCUGGCGGUAGGCUUAACACAUGCAAGUCGUGCGAGAAAGUAUCUUCGGAUAUGAGUAGAGCGGCGGACGGGUGAGUAACGCGUAGGAAUCUACCUAGUAGAAGGGGAUAGCCCGGGGAAACCCGGAUUAAUACCGUAUACCUCCUUCGGGAGAAAGAAGGCCUCUCUUUGAAGCUUUCGCUAUUAGAUGAGCCUGCGUAAGAUUAGCUUGUUGGUGAGGUAAAGGCUCACCAAGGCGACGAUCUUUAGCUGGUCUGAGAGGACGAUCAGCCACAUUGGGACUGAGACACGGCCCAGACUCCUACGGGAGGCAGCAGUGGGGAAUAUUGGACAAUGGGCGCAAGCCUGAUCCAGCCAUACCGCGUGUGUGAAGAAGGCCUUCGGGUUGUAAAGCACUUUAAGCAGGGAGAAAAAGUUAUAAGUUAAUACCUUAUAACCCUGAUGUUACCUGCAGAAUAAGCACCGGCUAAUUCCGUGCCAGCAGCCGCGGUAAUACGGAAGGUGCAAGCGUUAAUCGGAAUUACUGGGCGUAAAGCGCGCGUAGGUGGUUUGUUAAGUUGGAUGUGAAAGCCCUGGGCUCAACCUAGAAACUGCAUCCAAAACUAACUCACUAGAGUACGAUAGAGGGAGGUAGAAUUCAUAGUGUAGCGGUGGAAUGCGUAGAUAUUAUGAAGAAUACCAGUGGCGAAGGCGGCCUCCUGGAUCUGUACUGACACUGAGGUGCGAAAGCGUGGGUAGCGAACAGGAUUAGAUACCCUGGUAGUCCACGCCGUAAACGAUGACAACUAGCUGUUGGGAGACUAUGUCUUUCAGUGGCGCAGCUAACGCUUUAAGUUGUCCGCCUGGGGAGUACGGCCGCAAGGCUAAAACUCAAAUGAAUUGACGGGGACCCGCACAAGCGGUGGAGCAUGUGGUUUAAUUCGAUGCAACGCGAAAAACCUUACCUACUCUUGACAUACUUGGAGGCUCUUGUAAUGAGAGUGUGCCUUUUGGAACCAAGAUACAGGUGCUGCAUGGCUGUCGUCAGCUCGUGUCGUGAGAUGUUCCGUUAAGUCGGAUAACGAGCGCAACCCUUACCCUUAUUUGCCAGCGAUUCGGUCGGGAACUAUAAGGGGACUGCCGGUGAUAAACCGGAGGAAGGUGAGGACGACGUCAAGUCAUCAUGGCCCUUACGAGUAGGGCUACACACGUGCUACAAUGGGAGAUACAGACGGACGCUAAGCCGCGAGGUGGUGCUAAUCCUAAAAAGUCUUUCGUAGUCCGGAUUGGAGUCUGCAACUCGACUCCAUGAAGUCGGAAUCGCUAGUAAUCGCGGAUCAGCAUGCCGCGGUGAAUACGUUCUCGGGUCU